rnacentral:sRNA from 1 species
UCUCGUUCUUCAAGUGUCUCCUGUGACC